rnacentral:rRNA from 1 species
CUGGCUCAGGACGAACGCUGGCGGCGUGCUUAACACAUGCAAGUCGAACGGUGAUGUCAGAGCUUGCUCUGGCGGAUCAGUGGCGAACGGGUGAGUAACACGUGAGUAACCUGCCCCCGACUCUGGGAUAACUGCUAGAAAUGGUAGCUAAUACCGGAUAUGACGACUGGCCGCAUGGUCUGGUCGUGGAAAGAAUUUCGGUUGGGGAUGGACUCGCGGCCUAUCAGGUUGUUGGUGAGGUAAUGGCUCACCAAGCCUACGACGGGUAGCCGGCCUGAGAGGGUGACCGGCCACACUGGGACUGAGACACGGCCCAGACUCCUACGGGAGGCAGCAGUGGGGAAUAUUGCACAAUGGGCGAAAGCCUGAUGCAGCAACGCCGCGUGAGGG